GACAGAGAUGGCAGACACAGCUCCUAGGAGUUUCCUCGUUGUCUUUCCGGUUUUAUUUAUCAUAUUGCUUCCUCCUAUUACCCUGUUCAUUCCAUGGAAAGCARGAAGAGAUCCGGAAGACACAGGGGACACACCUCUCAGCGCAUCUGCAGAAGCAUUAAAGCAAUUCCCAAUGACUCUAACUGAAGACAUCACCUUCCAAUGCAAGCACCUUCAGGCUUGAAGGAAUCUCUAUACCUACAAAGACAUCGGUUAAUUUCUUGCMUAUCAGCUUCGUCAUUGUGACUUCUUGCAGGCCAGAUCUGAAAGCCACCAGGAACCUGACCCUCCUUGGUGCAUGGAGAAGUCCUUGGUGUUGGAGCACAAGUGAUUACAUUGGAAUCAGCAUUGAUCGUCCAGCUUGGAUCUGACAGCUAUGAGCUGAUCCUGGCAAAAGCCACAGCCUUAAAUCACAUUCAGUCAGAGGAAAGAAUGAAAGGGAGCCGAAGUCUUGCCCCCUUACAGAAACUGUCCUCUCUCAACCUGACACUCUGGUUCUGCACUGAGCAAGCAGAGCAACAAACAGUGAGUUUUUCAUGGGGCCCAGCCAGCAUCCAAAAAAAAUUCAAUAUGUAGCCAAAAGGAAAAAUGAUGUAUUUAGGUGAUAGCAGGAAAUGAAUGUGUUUACUGCAAAGAAGGAGUGCUGCUGUCUGAGGUGAAAGAAGAUCUCUGUCAUCCCUUGUAUAUAUUCAAAGCCAUACAGGAACAAGGCACCAGUGA